UACGUAGGCAGCGAGCGUUGUCGGAUGUACUGGCGUGAAGCGUACGUAGGCGGUGUCGUUAGUUGUUAGUUGUAAAUGAUCCCGGCCGUUUAACCGGGAGGGUGCGGCGAAUACUGAGAUGCUGGAGUGCCGGAGAGGUAAGCGGAAUUCCUGGUGUAGCGGUGAAAUGCGUAGAUAUCAGGAGGAACACCGGUGGCGAAGGCGGGUCUCUGGGCCGAUACUGACGCUGAGGAGCGAAAGCGUGGGGAGCGAACAGG
rnacentral:rRNA from 1 species